rnacentral:lncRNA from 1 species
CACAGCUUCUUGGAGUUUUAUUUUGGCUUCUGAAAAAUAGUGCAUUUGUGUCAAACAUGCAGAGUUAUAAAUCGAUGCUGCUCUGAUUUAUUAAGUGCAGUCAGGCCAGCGCGCCGAGCGAGUGGCCGGGGCCGCAGCUCUCCCCGUGUGGCUGAGCCCCGGGCCUGGCCCUUCCCCAACAGCCCCAUCUAUAGAUGAAGCAGCCGAGGUUCAGAGAGGGCAGGGCCGCUGCCUGUGCGUCGACUCUGUGCUAAGCAGUUCACGGGCAUUGAGUAAAAUUGCCCGAGGCCCAGCCACCACGAAUUAUCUGAUUUAAAGGCCGGCUUGGCCAGGAAUACGCAUUUCAGGGCAGAGCUGAUGAGGCAAGUUUGAGGUUCCCUUGGGAUAUCCAGGAGGGAGAGCUUGGCUUGGAUUCUUAUCAGCUGUUCCACCCUUAGCUACUCAGUUAACCUCUCUGUGCUCCAGUACCCCAUCUGCAAAAUGAGCAUAGUACCUCCCUCGUGGGGCUGGUUCUGGAUUAAAUGAGUUACAUGGGUGCGGUUGGCUGACAUUUAGGAGGCAAUUGGACACCUGGGCAUGGAGCCUGGCGACGGUGGGGUUGGCAGCACCAGUGCGGGGGAAGAGGGCGCAGCAUGAACAAGAAGGGCAGCCGGGUCCUUUGCCAUGUGGAGUGGCAGAGGGGCCUGCACGGGGAGUGAGGAGCAGACACUCCCCAGGGUGUGGGUCAUGGAGGCCCAGAGCUGAGACGGUGCAGACAAGAGAGUGGCCAGCAGGGCGCCGGGGCUGCCAGCCUCGAGGUCGGCGUGAGGCAAACAGAUGCAGCAAUGAUGUCACGAGCCCCCUCAGGCCAUCCAAGCCCACAGCCCCGGGCCCAGGCUUCCUCUGACUCUCAUGCAGGCUCUGCAGACAGUGAAACAAACACAGCUUUCCUGACCUGUGAGAAGAUUCCAGAGGAGCAGCAGAGCCUGAAUUCAGGUGGUAUGAGGUUAAAUACUAAGUCAACCCUCUUAGCAACAGGUCCCACGUCCAGGGCCAGCCUUGAGGUCAGACGUUGAUUCCUCUGAUUCCCAGACUGUGGCUGGGGCCUCUGCCACCCUGGGAAGCCUGGCCCCUUUGUCCUCACUGUCCGACCAGGACCCAGGCCUGGCUCGCAGCCUCUCUGCUGGGAGUGGUGUCUGUGUCUCCUGGCUAGGGGAGGCAUUCUUGGAUUUGGGAGUGCUUGUCCUGCUGGGGGCUGGACUGGGGCAGUCAGACGACUCGGGGGCACUGGAAGACAGCGUUCUGAGAUGGUCUUAGGAACGUAGCCCGGCUUGGGUUUCUGAGCAGACAGGCAUAUAGAUGGGGUACCUGCCCUCUCCAGAGUCUUCAAGGAGCAACCUUCUUAUUUGACCUUUGUGGUGGGGUCUCUGCUGUCCCCACCGCAGUUUUGUAUCCCGCCUCUUCCCUACAUAGCCCCAGUUCGUCCCUCUAGGCUUUGUCCGUGCUGUUUCCCCUGCAGGAAUACCUUCUCCUGCCAGUCAAUCAAGACGCAUCCUUCAAAACCCAGCUGCGUUCGAGUAGCCACUUCGCGCAGGUGAGAAUCCGGCUGUUACCAGCGUGUGAAGAUGUGCUGUGUCUGUGCUCCUUCCACGGGCCAGCUCCUGCAGCUCUGAGCCUCGGGGCUUCUGUGGAGCCUGGGGAGGCUGCACUGCUACAAGAGCCAAGGAGUUAACACCCUCCCCUACCUUGAAAUUUCCCCGACCAAUGACUGGCAGGAGCUGGCGUAUAAAAGUCCAGCUCCCUCGCUCCCUGAGUGGGAUAACUCUCGGGUGUGUGGUUUACACAGUUUCCCAGAGUCUCCCUGUGGGAUUAAACUCCAGGUGCCCAGGGGGUCACUUGCUGUUAAC